GGCCUAACACAUGCAGUCGAGCGGAAACGACACUAACAAUCCUUCGGGUGCGUUAAUGGGCGUCGAGCGGCGGACGGGUGAGUAAUGCCUAGGAAAUUGCCUUGAUGUGGGGGAUAACCAUUGGAAACGAUGGCUAAUACCGCAUAAUGCCUACGGGCCAAAGAGGGGGACCUUCGGGCCUCUCGCGUCAAGAUAUGCCUAGGUGGGAUUAGCUAGUUGGUGAGGUAAUGGCUCACCAAGGCGACGAUCCCUAGCUGGUCUGAGAGGAUGAUCAGCCACACUGGAACUGAGACACGGUCCAGACUCCUACGGGAGGCAGCAGUGGGGAAUAUUGCACAAUGGGCGAAAGCCUGAUGCAGCCAUGCCGCGUGUAUGAAGAAGGCCUUCGGGUUGUAAAGUACUUUCAGUUGUGAGGAAGGGGGUAGCGUUAAUAGCGCUAUCUCUUGACGUUAGCAACAGAAGAAGCACCGGCUAACUCCGUGCCAGCAGCCGCGGUAAUACGGAGGGUGCGAGCGUUAAUCGGAAUUACUGGGCGUAAAGCGCAUGCAGGUGGUUCAUUAAGUCAGAUGUGAAAGCCCGGGGCUCAACCUCGGAACUGCAUUUGAAACUGGUGAACUAGAGUACUGUAGAGGGGGGUAGAAUUUCAGGUGUAGCGGUGAAAUGCGUAGAGAUCUGAAGGAAUACCAGUGGCGAAGGCGGCCCCCUGGACAGAUACUGACACUCAGAUGCGAAAGCGUGGGGAGCAAACAGGAU
rnacentral:rRNA from 1 species